rnacentral:misc_RNA from 1 species
UUGAGCAAAACGCUCCUCGCGUCAGCCGUCUACUUUCUAAUACCGACCACCUCUUUGGCUUCCCCCGUGUCUCGUAGCAGGGCUGCCUUGGCGACAUCAUCAUACCUAUUCACCUAUUCGUCUCUGGGAGUGUGAGCCCUCAACGAGUGGUCGCGCGCGCGUCUGCGAUUUCAGCAGGGCGUCUCGUCGGCCUAAGGCAAUCACACGCGCCUGUCCAUGAAUAAUAACAAGGCGUCAGUGUGCACACGGACUCGAAGAGGGUGUACACUUCACAUAACCCCAUAGAGGAAGACCUCUAAGCUGGCGAUCACCUACUGCGUUGCCAGGGCACGGACUCUCAUCCAUAUAACGAUAUCGCAUUGUGACCUUUCCUGUUGUUGUCAGCACCUUCCCUGUCGGUGCUGUGUCGACUGCCCGCUACGACUCACUGUGUGUGCGUAUCUCCCUCUGUUGCUGCUCUUUGUUUUACGCGGUGUUGACCUUCUUUCCAGCUCCUCUUGGCCGUGGUCUUGUAUGUCUUUCCUUCAUUUUCUUGCCGUGCUUCUCAGCUGACGGGACCAUCCAGUGUGCGCAUGCACGGACGUGUGCCUGUGCCUGUGUGUGUGUUUUGCCCUUUGAUAGCGUUUUCUUAGUUUGCUUCGCUCUCCCUUGUCUUGGCGUCCUCACGACUCAGCCGCUGUUGUUGGACCCGUCGCACACCGUCGUCGCCGUUAUCUUCUCCUGCGGAGCACUGUGAAGAGUGCGCGUGAGCAGCCCUUUCACAGUGCUGCGCGUCUCGCGUAUGGUGGUCAACGGCAGGACGCUUUCCUCAGCACCGUCGACUGCCGAUCGCUCGCCAUCAUGCCGUCGCGCCUUGCGCACAUAACGACCCACUUCUUCAAUCUCCCAGCUGCACAGGAUGAGCCGACGUAUGGCACCAUGCGGCCAGCGCAGGAGCUGACGAGCUCCACCACGCUGGCCAUGGGGGGCGCAACCGGCCAUCGCACCACUGGCGGUCCACUGGACGGGUCCAGGCUGAUGGCAGCCAUGCGUCGCGGCGGCAUAGCCAGCGGAGGGGGUCACAUCUACGCAGCAGGCGCGACUGGGCGGCCCUCCUCUUCAGCUUCCUCCACCGUCGCCUUGACGCCGCUUCUGUCGCCUGCCUCACCUACGUCACCGGUGAUCACGCGAUGGCCGACCUUUUCGGUCUCACCUCGUAGCAGCGGCGGCGGGCCUCGAAGUUGGACUGCCCUCACCAAGGCGAGGCGAGCUCUCGAAGACAGCAGCCUUGGCUCCCCAUCCUCACCGGUGCUGCCGAGCGCGGGGGCCGGCGCAGAUGUCGUGGGCAUCGAGGCGGCAUUGCCGUCGUUGCCAACGUGGAGUGCCGACGCACGCGCCUGGCCUGCGAGCGCGGGAGCUGGAGUGGCUGGGAAGGAGGCGGCGAGCGGGGUGGCAGGCCUGGUCGGGUCGCGACACACUUCGCCGCGCAUCGGCGCCGCUGGCCACCACAGCACUCUGCACAGCGCGACUGUGCCCAUGUCGCCGACAGGGAAGCUUUCGCCUUCAAGCCGCUGGGGCCCUGCUGGCACCGCCGUGGGCCACGACCGCAGCACCGAGGGCAUCUCGGCCGGAGCGAGCGGGCGAGGCGGUGACGGCGUCGGUGGCCAAGGAGGUCUGCACUCCACAUUGGAGGAUUCCGCGAGGACGCUGGUAACCGAGGCAGACGGCGACCUUCUAGUGCCACCGUUGAUACACUUCGUCGAGGAUGAGGAGGUGCUGCGGUAUGUUGCUGAACUGCUGAACCGCCGUCGCGUUGACGAAGUCGCAUCCGCUGUGGAGGCUGUCGAGCACGCGUCGGCAGAGGACCUCUCGGUGCCGACCAAGGGGCUCAGUCGCGCGGUUGUUCUUCAGCGUGACUAUGUGCUUAGCGCUUCACAGAGCAAGUCCCUGCACGCGCUCAUGAUGCCGAGCAGUGGCGCGCAGAGUACGAUGGGCCACCGCCGCGCAUACCCUUCUACGCUCGUGUCUGCGAGUGAUGCCACGAGAAACGCGAUGAAAGGCGCGGUGGUCGGCGACGAUGUUGGGGCUGCUGUGCAGGGGCGUGACCGCUCUCGUGCCGCCUCCCUCGGCCCGCAACUCCAUUCAAGAGGCGAGGAGGAGGCCGCAGCAGCGACGAUGAGAUCGGCGAACACAGGCAGCGUUGACACGGGCUCGCCCACUUCCCCGUUAGCUGCAACUGCCUCCUCGUUGUAUCUGACAGCUCUGACGAGGCCGCUGUGCGACACCGGCAGUAGCGGAGUGUACUUGAGCUGCACCAGCAGCGGCGAUGCGGCGGCAAGCAAUCACUCCACUGCCCAGCAGCGUAGCGGCAGGUCGCGCAGGUCUCUUGACGCAACGAAGUCAGGCGGCUCUGCCUCGGCCGCGGCUGCCUCGUCGGCCGCCACUGCAGCGUUGCAAAGGGCGGAUAGCGCGUCAGAGGGGCGCACUGCCGCCGCCGAUGCGGCGAUGGCCUCCGCGCCGCCAAUUGACCUGGAGGGCUUCUGUCUCGCCGUACGCUACAACGUGUUCGCCAACUACCGGACCCUGCCCGUGCACUGCGCGCAGCGGUCUUAUGAGCAGCUACCGGUGCGGUAUCGCGCCGGGCUCGACGCGAUUUCGGCCGACGUGCUUCAGCAGCAGCAGCACCGUGACCAGCAGCAGGGCAGUACCGAUGCGGUCAGCGCCAGCGAUGAGGUUGCCAAUGUCGCGGUGUCGACGAGUGUCGGCAGCGGCGGCGCCGCAAACAUGGGCCACCCUCGUGGCCGACGCUCCGAGGGGUCUUCGGCGGGCUUGUCAGCAGCCGCUCCAGGGGCUGCGGCCUACGUCGCAGAGGGUUGUCACGACUCCGUCACCUUCAUUGGCAUGGGGUACUACGGCGCUGGAGGUCGUGGCGGUGCAUGGCCAGCCACCAUGAACCUCUCUGGGAGCAUCGGCGCAGCGUCGACGGCGACAACUCCAGCUGCGAGCCCCGGCUGGCUGAGCAGGGGCGGAAGCAUGUGCCUCGACACGUCGGUGUUUCCUUCGCUUCCCUCGUGCUCUAUGGAAGAGAGAGCGGCAGUGACGAUCGCGUCGCCUGUGUCGGUCCCCACAACCUCUACACCAGGGGGCGCCGCUGCGCCCGGGCCGGCGGUCUCCCCACUGCCUUCGUCGUCGCCGACGUCUGCGGUGACCACCACGUCGGCCACAAUAGGCGACGCAGCCGCAGGGGCAGGGCUUGUCUCCAGAGUGGCGCCGCUGCAUCACGUCCAGCAGACCAUUCAAUCCUUCAUCGCGCGUGGCGAGCGGGAGGUGGCGCUGCACUUUAUAAUGGCCACCGCCCCUUACCGCUUCUCUGGCACGACGGACAGCGACCGCGUACUUGCAUUCUUCAACCAGAUUCGCUUCUUCCUGCCGUCCCCGCGCUUCGGCAUCGUCAUGCUGGCGAUGGAUGCGUGGCGCUCCCUGUACCGGCCGAGCGUCGGAGCUGGGGCAGCGGACUGCACGCACAUGACACUGGAGCUGCUGGCGCUGAUCGAGACGUACCUAUGCCAUGGGCGCACGUACGCCGAGUACGUGUCAGGGUUGCUCAUGCUGCGUGCGGUGUUGGCGCUUGCUAUGGAAAACAGUACUCUUUGCAGUCGCACGGCGGCGGUGCUGCUGCAGCACCGGUCCCUGCUGCAGGGCCGCUUGCCCACCUUCCUGCUCGCGGUUUGGCUGAUACUGAUGGAGUUCUACACCAUUGACGACACUCUGUUGCCACCACGACGGGUUUUGCGCGACCUCGCCGCCAACGCCAUGCAGGACCUGUUCACGGUGGCAUUGGAGCUGCACAUGACGCUGCCGGUGCAGAACGUCGUCGCCAACGCCGUGAACGUCUUCUUCGCAGGUCCGCAGCCGCAGCCGCAACUCGGCCUCUCUCCACUCGUCGCUGCGUUCUCUGGUGGGGACGAGGUUUCGGUGGAUGUGGGCCAUCGUGGCGGUGCUGAGGCGAGCAACAGCAGCUCCGGCAAUGCCAACGCCACGGCGGCGGCGGUGAAAGCCGCGCACUCCCUGUACUCAAACGCAGCAAGCAACGCCGGCAAGAGCGUUGACUCUGAAGCCGUGAUGUUUCCUCUUCGCACUUUGGAUGUGCCUGCUGCUGCUGUCGGUGCUGGUGUCGGCGUACGGGGAAGCGGGGCACCAGGAUCAGGAGCUGCCCGAAGCCCGUCCCUUUCUCGGGCUACACCUAGCAUCGGAAAAGCGGCUUCGGACGACACGGCGGACACCGCGGCGGCGCCAUUGCCGCCGCAUCGCGUGCCUGGGGCUGAUGCGGCCUCGGCGGCGGCGUCCGCCUCUCUCUCUCGCGACCCAACCGAGAGCAGCCAGUCGGCAAUGCGAACGAGAGUCGUCACACCAGCGUCACCGGCUCCACAGGCGCCAGCUUUCUCGUAUCGCGCCGUCGCAAAGUCGAUGUGGGUUUCUGUGAAGCGCGCAGCACGGCGCCUCGCCCAUUCAACAUCGGUGCCGUCGCCGUCACCAGCGCUGGCCAUCGCUGCCGCCGUUGACGGCCGCAGCGACGCGGCUGAGGCUGCUAGCGCGACACAAGAUGCAAUCGGUGGCACGCCUAGUUUGUUUUCUGCGCCGCCGGCUUUCGAUCUACCUCGACGCAUGGCGUCAGCGCGCACCAUGGCCGCCAAUAGACACCCGUCGCCGCCGCUGCUUGUUGAAGUUCUCGAGGACAUUUUCCGUGAGUCGAUGGAAGCUGACUUGUCAGAACACGCGGAGGCGGUUGCGCGAUCGACGGGCAGUGUGCAGCAACAAGUGCCCCUCUACACAACCUCGGCAGCUGCCGGCAGUCGCUGGCUCGUACAGAGCAGCAGCUCACCUUCUUCCCAGGUUGCGCGACGGGUCGCUGUCACGAACGGUACCGCAGCCGGAGGUCGUGGCACCAUGCUGUCCCCGUACCACGCGCUUCGGCAGUCCAGUGCAGCCGGCUCGCCACUGUUGCGUCCGGGGUCGUGGGCGCAGCGUCGACAACAGCGACGCAGCUUCAGCGUCACAGCUGCAGCGGCCACGACGCUGGGGCUGGAGUCGUCGUCAGCGUUCAGCGACCCGCUGUGGGGCGACAUUCCCUUCGAUGGCACUGUGCCCAACCGAGACGCGCUCUGGACAUUACCGCUGGCACACGCUCUCCGUGCGGCCGGCCGGCCACAGACAUUGGAGGCCACCGUGGCGGCGUCGACGCUCACGCUGGGCGCGUUUCUGUGUGCGUGGCGAAUUGCGGGUCUCUCCGACGAGACGGACUCUGCGGGGAGCCGCGCAUCGCGGCAUUCGAGCGGCAUGGCUACGGCAACUGCGGCCUCACUUGGCGCCAACCCUACGGAGGUCUCCAUCGUUCCAUCCGGCGAGCCACCCCUGCCACUCUACUUCGGCCCUGCGUCUGGUGGAGCCGGAGCGGGCGACGCUGACCCGUUCACGGAGGGUGUUGUCCUUCCGCUCUUGACGCCGGAAAACCUCGUCGCAGCUGCGGGCUCCGGCGUUCCGGCGGGCUGUCGCGACUCUCUUGUUGAGCCAGUCUCGCUGCCGUACCCGUCACCCGCGACGGGUGACUCGACGGCGAUGCCACCUGGCGUUGGCGCUUCUAGUGGGGCCUUUGGGGUCUCUACAGGUGAGCCGGAGAAGCCGGUGCCGAUGCUUCCGACAACGAUUUCUGCGCUCGCCAGCCGCACCGGGGCGUCGCGGUGCCGCGGAAGGUUGCUGGCAUCCACCGCCACCGAUGCGGAUCCGGCGUGGCAGAGCGUGGAGAGCGCUGCGACAAACGUGUACGUACCUCCUGUGGCUGGUGUGGCGCCCCCCAUCGUGCGGGCUUCAGGCGCAGCGACGAGGGCGGCACGGGAUGAAGUGUCGGCCGCCACGCCGGCUGUGUCUACCGACAUGGCGGCACUGCUCGCGGUGCCACCAUUGCCAGGGCCAAGAGGAAGUCCGUCGCUACAUGUGGCACAGGGCGCAGUAGCCACAGCCGCAGCGGCCAGAAACGGGUUUGAUAACACGAGUGCGGAUCAUGGGACACUAGCAGGACUGCCAGCAACUGCCGCCGCCGCCGUCGCAACGCCAGACGCAGCCUUCUCUCAUAGCUUGGGCUGCGCGAACGAGAUCAUGCAGGGCGCAGCCGGUCUCGUAGGGUCAGCGACGGUGGCAGGCCGCCAGAGUGGACUCCCCGCUACCAUCCCGACGUCGACGGGGGGCUUGUGCAGGGCGCGCGUCUUUCCCACCGCGGCGGCGGAUGUCAGCGUCUCUGACGACUCACGCUCACAGGUGGGCGCGCGCGGCGCUAACGAUACGGCGAGGCUCACGAUGGCAGCGCCGAGGCCCGCUAUGGGUACUGGUACUGCCGAUGGCCGACCGAACGUGGCAGCAACAGUACCGCAGACGCCGUCCCUCUCUUUCUUCUUGCCCUCGUGGGCCGCGGCGCGAGUGAUGGAGCGCUGCGUGCGUCCUUGCCGGGAUGCCACCGGCCCUGCCACACUGUCCUCCACAGCAGACGGCGCGAGGGCGGCAACGAGGCACACAAGCGCCGUGGCGGUGACCAAGGAAGCAGAAAUCCUCCUCAGCAGCGUAGUGCCAAUCCUCUCCCAGUACUACGUGGACGCGCUCCCCGCCAGCGCCGUGACGGCGGCGACGCAAGUGCUCGUGAACCGUGCCAUUCAAUCAGUGAAGUCCCUCUCGCAGGGACUGCGUGAUUGUAGUAGCCGCCUCGGCGCCAACAGUCGUGGCGGCGCACCUACCGAAACGACAGCGCGCGCAAGCUCAGGUGGCACCACUCUGCCCUCCUCGUCAGCGCCUCCCGAGUCUGACGUCGCGCCACGUGACGCAGACAUGGGUGCCCCCCACAACGGCGCUGAGCCACCGGCAUCAUCACCGCGUGCGGCAGCGCCCACCGACACCGCCUCUGCUGCCACCGCCGCCACCCCCUCUACACCAUUCGCCUCACCGUUUUCAGCUUGGCCGGCAGAGGACAGCGCCCUCGUGGACGGAACAGAGUUGCUGAACGCGAUUCUGUUCAUGACGACGGUGGCGGAACGCUAUCCUGCUGUGUAUGAGCGCAUGAUAAAUCAGAGGCUCUACCCGCUACUUCAUCACAUAUUGCUGCUGCACAACGCCGCUGUCGAGGAACCGCAGCUGUGGCUCUCCAUGCCCCUCUCCUCUGCGGCGGUGGCCGCACACUUCAACGUCGGUGACCGAGCGGCGGCGGUUCUGCCUGUGGCGCCGCAACAACAGCAGCAGUGCAACUCGCAGUCCGUAACCCCUCCCACUGCCAUGGAGGGCGAGGCGGUCAUCCAGCGAAUGCGGCUGAUCACCGCCCGGGCCAUGUAUCAGCGCCUCGCAAUGCCGGCGCUGGUUCUCCUCUCGCACAACAUGCCCGAUGACGCGUGUGCGCGUCGGUGCUACCCACUGGUGGUGCGGCUGGCACAGCUGGGACUGCGACGGCCUUUCUCGAUGGCAUCCGUCACCACGGCAUUGUGCAUCUGUGCCGUUUACCCGCCCCUCUCCCGCGUGUGCCAGUCCGAGCUGGUGCGGGCGAUGGCCGUCGUACUGGCGACCCCAGAUGACGGGCUCAGUGACGGAGACGACGAUGGUGCCGACAACUCGGCGGCGACGACGGCUUCGCGAGAGGCAGAGGCGGACGGCGUGAGGGUGACGCACCACUCUCGAGUACCGCUGCAAGCCCGGCACGAAGAUGAGCCGCGAGGCACUCGCGAGGAGGAUGCCAUUGCGAACAAGCCAGCCGGGCCGACUCGGGGUGCAGUGCUGUCGCCUAGACCUCUCCCAAUGACCGCUGCGACAGCAGCGGUGUCUCAGGCAUUGCUACCGAGGCCGUCCUCGCGUCGGGCAGCGCCAACCACGGCUGUCGCGGCCACCGGGAGCGCGGCUCAUCCGAUGUGGAGGAGCCGGCUGAACCUCCAGCUCUUUUUCCCUUUCUCAACAAACGUCGGGCACCUGCGCCUCUCUGCGGCAUCGGUGCGGGCCGCGCGGCGCCGACAGGCAGCUCAGACCCGCCUCAUCAAGCACCACUGCUUCCGCGCCAUGAGCCUCUUCUACAGCAGCUGGGAGGGCACCACCCUCUUCUUCCUCGAGGUGUGCCUUCCAUACUUGUGGCACCCCGAUGCACAGCUGCGAUUGGAAUGUGUGCAGUGUUGCAUGCGCUGGCUGCUGUCGGACUGCUGGCACUCCACGGAUCAGACAUUGCUGCAUCAUCAUGCCGCCACGCCCACUGCCAGCGCGGGUGGUGUCGAUGCAGCCCCGUCGACGGCGCUGACCUCGUUUCGCGGUAUCGUGACGGCCGCCGUCACCCGCGCUCCAGUGCGUGACCCGCGCACGACCGCGAACAGCGGCAGAAGCGCCAAGGGCGGCGUGCACGGGACGACCGCGCUGCGGUGCCUCACAACCCUUAGCACACCAGCGCCGACACAGGCUGGACAGGUGCGCGUGCCGUACCAUGCGCCGCCCCGUUGGACCGCAGAGGCCCUUCGCAAUGGCGUAUCGUCGGGGUUCGACGAGGGAGCAGCAGCGGGGCCGGCAGUGCCUGCUGCCACAACGCGAGCACCGGCGAUGUCGAUCUGCACGGUGCAGCAUCACGGACGCACGCACGUCAACGCUCUGAGAGAGGUGGUGCACCACUUAGUGGAGCUGGCUGUCUGCGACCCGGAGCCGCUCAUUCGGAAGUGCGCACUGGAGAGUCUCUCGCCGGAGACCUAUCCUCUGCUGUACCCCCACGAGCCAUUCGUGCACCAGCUGUUCACGGUGCUGUGGGACAGUCAUAUGCCGAAUCGAAGCAGAGCAGCACAGCUGCUCUGCGCUCUGGCGCCGCUGAACCCGUCCUCUAUCUUCCCCCGCCUCCGCCAGGUGCUGGUCCGAUACACAGAGGACUUGACGAAUAGCAUCGCGCGGCUGGCAGCCCCUUCCUUGCCUGCAAAGUCGACCUCAGCGCCCCUUCCAGUCGCACCACCCGGGCACAUCCACGAGGACGCGCUCUUUGUGUUGUUCCAGAUCGCGUCUCGGCUGAAGCAAUCAACGCAUCUCUACUUGCCGCAACUUCUGUCGAUUGUGUCUUCGGUGCUGCGCAGCGGGUCGUCGCCGCGCGGAUCGGUGCUGCAGGCGUUGCAUUUCCUCGUUGCCUUGCGGGAGGAUAGCACCGAGGAGCAGUCAGCACUCUUCGCUCCCUUUUUCGACCUCGUUGCGCAGCAGCUGAUCGACGGCGACGGCGACACCGCACGCCUGCUGGCGACGGUGGCAGCACUGCAGAGCUUGCUGCAGCAGUUCAGUGGCUCGGCGCACUCCUCAUCGAAGACCCUGCCGAUGGUGGUCGAGCGCCUGCACUCGCUACUGUACCGCAAGCCAUCCGUUGUGACGGAGUUUGCCAUGGCUGUGCUGCAGCUACUGGGCACAAUCAGUAGCAUCGAGCCGUGGGACUCCGAAGCGGCGCCGCGCGCACCGGCGCUACUGCGACGACCGCAGAACCGCUACGCCUUGCCGCCGCUCUCCUCGUCGGCUGGCGUGCUAGGUCGCGGCAGGGCAGUGCGCUCAAGGUGGCUCGACAGAGAUGAGAGGGCGGACAGCGCUGCAGAGGCACUUGCGCAGUUGCAGAAGGCUGACCGCUUCGCUCCGUUCACGGCGCGCGCGUGGUGCGAUACGGUUCUGCGCGCGCUGAUGCGCACCGUUUCUGAAUACGUGAAUGGGACGAUGAGCCAGACGCAGGGAGGUCUGUGCACGUGCCUCGCCGCCAUCAUGAACAUCUUGACCAACACCGUGGCUAUUCAUCAUCUGGAGCUGUACCUGCCGACGGUGCUUACGCUCGUGAUCGACCUCCUCGAGAAGCGGCAGACACGGUGGCGCAACGUCCAGACAGCGUAUCAGUCGGCGGUGGGGCCUGCAGAGGCAGGUAAGAUCAACGACUCCUCGGAGGCGAUACGGCAGCUCUUCCUGCGGAGACUGUUUGACCUGGUUCUUGCCGCCGGUCGCCGUAUUGGUCCGAUGUACCCGCUGCUGAAUGUUUUUCUGCGCCGCAGCUGGAAGACAAUGUCACCGCGCGGCAUUGUACAGUGCUGUGAGGUGCUUGAUGCCCUGUGCUGGGCAGUGCCGGAUUUGCUGCGCGACGACUGCGACGUGUGGAUCCCGUCGCUACUGGAGGCACUGAUUCAGUACGACGCGCUGGUGGUGACGCACCGUCGCGCACACGAGGGGGUGCCAGACAGCGCGCCUGCUGCCGCCAACACGUCGACAGGAGCCGCGGCCACCGGCACAGCCGCCGUCACUGCUGUUACGCCUACAGAGAGUGAAGAGACCCCAGCAGCGCCGGCCAGCACAUCGCGGAACUUCUCGGCUUCGGCGAAUCGUAUGAGUCCUGCCCGACAUGGGAGCGUCGCUGCGGAUGCGAACGACAGCAGCAGCAGCCCGCUGAAAAAGCCGCAUAAACUACCACAAUCCCUGCACAGAGCGACAGCUGCUGACGGUACCGAGGAGGCUCCGUGGGAGCAGCAGCUGAAGCUUGUCUAUCAAGCCUUGACCCUGUGCUUGACAUCGCUGCAGCCGCUAGUGCCUCCGCUGGCAAAGCGGUUCGUUGCGGUAAGCCUGUCGGAGUGCCUGAAAUCGUCACACGUGCCACGCGGCGAAGCAGUGCGACGCACCGCAGCGCCCCCAGCAGCGGCCGGACCGACGGAUGGCCGCACGGAGCAGGGCAGCGGCUUCGAUGCGGACUACAGCGCCACGCUCGCCACAUCGACGCGCUCAUCGCUGCAGAGUCUUUGGCCAGCCGCCGGCGCCACGACGGCGUCAGCCGUUUUCGAUCUGAUGGCGGACCCGCACGAGGAGCUCAUCUCCUUCCUGAACGCGUGUGUCUGCCGGCCUCUGCUGGAGUACAUGGUGCACAGCAACCUCUCCUCUGUCUCCAUGAAGCUGGUCAAAAACCUGCUGUCACGUUUGGAGUCGCUGAGCGCCGUGCACGAAGAGGCGCUGCAGCGCUUGUGGGGCGCCAUGAGCCGGCGCACCGCGUCGCUGCUGUCGCAGCCCGAAAGCAGCCGCGGCCUAUCCUGGAUGCCGGAUGCGGCGAGCGGCACUGCCACCUGUCCCGAUGGCAGCGUUGGCUCGCUGGCCGCGCCGGCGCGCGCACAGCUGGAGGUGAAGCUACGCGAGGCGCGAGAGCUGCUGCAUCUGCAGCGUGCGCGGCAGUACGAGGAGGGCGGUGGCUCGGCCAACGCCAGCGGCUGCGGUGCCGGUGCCUUCUCCUCGCUCGCCGCCUUCUACGCAGCGCCGCGAUCGGCGAGUGAGGCGCUGUGGUUCAACAACGCUGCGCUCAGUCGCAUGUGGGUGCAGAGCGCCGACCGCGCGGUGACGGUGCGGCGCUACUUUCCUUUCGACGCGGUGCACACCUCCUGGGAGACCGAGGGAGAAGUCCAGCUGCUCGGGUGUCUUCUUGUGUCGGCUGCGUGGCACCACCCACCCUCAACGACCGCGUUCGCGACGACGCUGCACACGUACUUUGCGCAGCGCUUCGGCCCUGACAGCGUUGCGGUGGCGUACGUGCGCUGUAUAUGCUCCAGCUACUAUAAUUUGUGCAUGCCACUCGCGUCUGCGCAUGACGAGAUGGCGGUUAAGUGGGCUGAGCAACAGCAGCAGCGAGUUGCAACCGCAGGCUCUGGCAGCGACGCCGGCACUGAGAGCGACACCUCGCUCACCACCGCGACGCGGUCGGCUGUGAUGCGCGGCCCCGGGUUCUAUGAUGCCGCUGGCCAGGUCACGCGAGAGGGCAGUGCCGACAUCAUUCUCCGUCAUUUGAGUUCUCCUGUGGCCCAAACAGCUGUGGCAACGGCGCCUGCGAGGAGGAACGCCGCCGCCUCGCCGAGAGGCGGUGCCGCAUUGUCGGGAUCGUCUGGUAUGGGCAGUCGCGCCGUCAGUUGGGAGGAGGACGCGCCGGCGCCUGCCAUCACGGGAGGUGAAGGCACAUCCGCGCCCUCCUCUGCCGCUGCGACAGCGUUCGUUGGUGCAUCGGGGACACGCGCGACGACUCGAUGGGCCCAGGGCAACAGCGUGGCGGCCUCGCUAGGCUCGGUCCUGACCACCACCGCCAUCGUGUGCGGAGACAGCACGAACGACAUGGCGUUGGCGCGUCCCAUGACGGCGUACCCGAGCAUGGAACGCCUUGACAGCAGCAGCGACGGACGGCGUUCAGCUGAGAUGAACACGACAGUGCGCUUCUCCGACCAUGACGAGGAUCAGGACGGCAACGGGCGCACGUGGGCGGAUUCGCACUACGCACACCACACGAGGAGCGGCAAUGGUGGUAGCGCGAUGCCACACCGGCCGCACAUAAGCUACCAGCAGCUAAAUGCGAACCAGCUCCAUCAACUGCAGUACCCGUUGCCGACCAGGACAGCCACCUCGACACCCUUCUGCGGCCCCAACUCCCUCCCUCGCACUAUCACGGCACACAG